GACGAACGCUGGCGGCGUGCCUAAUACAUGCAAGUAGAACGCUGAAGAGAGGAGCUUGCUCUUCUUGGAUGAGUUGCGAACGGGUGAGUAACGCGUAGGUAACCUGCCUUGUAGCGGGGGAUAACUAUUGGAAACGAUAGCUAAUACCGCAUAACAAUGGAUGACACAUGUCAUUUAUUUGAAAGGGGCAAUUGCUCCACUACAAGAUGGACCUGCGUUGUAUUAGCUAGUAGGUGAGGUAACGGCUCACCUAGGCGACGAUACAUAGCCGACCUGAGAGGGUGAUCGGCCACACUGGGACUGAGACACGGCCCAGACUCCUACGGGAGGCAGCAGUAGGGAAUCUUCGGCAAUGGGGGCAACCCUGACCGAGCAACGCCGCGUGAGUGAAGAAGGUUUUCGGAUCGUAAAGCUCUGUUGUAAGUCAAGAACGAGUGUGAGAGUGGAAAAUUCACACUGUGACGGUAGCUUACCAGAAAGGGACGGCUAACUACGUGCCAGCAGCCGCGGUAAUACGUAGGUCCCGAGCGUUGUCCGGAUUUAUUGGGCGUAAAGCGAGCGCAGGCGGUUUGAUAAGUCUGAAGUUAAAGGCUGUGGCUCAACCAUAGUUCGCUUUGGAAACUGUCAAACUUGAGUGCAGAAGGGGAGAGUGGAAUUCCAUGUGUAGCGGUGAAAUGCGUAGAUAUAUGGAGGAACACCGGUGGCGAAAGCGGCUCUCUGGUCUGUAACUGACGCUGAGGCUCGAAAGCGUGGGGAGCGAACAGGAUUAGAUACCCUGGUAGUCCACGCCGUAAACGAUGAGUGCUAGGUGUUGGAUCCUUUCCGGGAUUCAGUGCCGCAGCCAACGCAUUAAGCACUCCGCCUGGGGAGUACGACCGCAAGGUUGAAACUCAAAGGAAUUGACGGGGGCCCGCACAAGCGGUGGAGCAUGUGGUUUAAUUCGAAGCAACGCGAAGAACCUUACCAGGUCUUGACAUCCCGAUGCUAUUUCUAGAGAUAGAAAGUUACUUCGGUACAUCGGUGACAGGUGGUGCAUGGUUGUCGUCAGCUCGUGUCGUGAGAUGUUGGGUUAAGUCCCGCAACGAGCGCAACCCCUAUUGUUAGUUGCCAUCAUUCAGUUGGGCACUCUAGCGAGACUGCCGGUAAUAAACCGGAGGAAGGUGGGGAUGACGUCAAAUCAUCAUGCCCCUUAUGACCUGGGCUACACACGUGCUACAAUGGUUGGUACAACGAGUUGCGAGUCGGUGACGGCAAGCUAAUCUCUUAAAGCCAAUCUCAGUUCGGAUUGUAGGCUGCAACUCGCCUACAUGAAGUCGGAAUCGCUAGUAAUCGCGGAUCAGCACGCCGCGGUGAAUACGUUCCCGGGCCU
rnacentral:rRNA from 1 species